UCAAGUUAUUAAGGGUGCAGGGCGGAUGCCUUGGCACUAGGAGCCGAUGAAGGACGUGAUAAGCUGCGAUAAGCUUCGGGGAGUUGCACGUAAACUUUGAACCGAAGAUUUCCGAAUGAGGAAACUCACUUAGAGUAAUGUCUAAGUAUCAUUAAGUGAAUACAUAGCUUAAUGAGGGGAACUCAGGGAACUGAAACAUCUAAGUACCUGAAGGAAGAGAAAGAAAUUCGAUUCCGUAAGUAGCGGCGAGCGAACGCGGAUUAGCCCAAACCAAUAAAGUUUUCUUUAUUGGGGUUGCGGACAUAUCAUAACGAAGAGGUAUCGUAAUUGAAGAGGUUUGGAAAGACCCACCACAGAAGGUAAUAGUCCUGUAUGUUAAACGAGAAGACUUCAGAUAUGAUCCAGAGUACCACGGGACACGUGAAACCCUGUGGGAAGCAGGAGGGACCACCCUCCAAGGCUAAAUACUACCUAGUGACCGAUAGCGUAUAGUACCGUGAGGGAAAGGUGAAAAGAACCCCGGGAGGGGAGUGAAAUAGAACCUGAAACCCUGCACUUACAAGCUGUGGAAGCACAUUUCUUGUGUGACCGCGUACUUUUUGUAGAACGGGCCAACGAGUUACGUUAAGUAGCAAGGUUAAGCACUUAAGGUGUGGAGCCGUAGCGAAAGCGAGUUUUAACUGAGCGUUCAGUUACUUGACGUAGACCCGAAACCGGGCGACCUACCCAUGAGCAGGAUGAAGCGAAAGUAAAAUUUCGUGGAGGUCCGAACCCACGAGCGUUGAAAAGCUCGGGGAUGACUUGUGGGUAGCGGUGAAAUUCCAAUCGAGCCCGGAGAUAGCUGGUUCUCCCCGAAAUAGCUUUAGGGCUAGCCUCAAGGUGAGAGAUACGGAGGUAGAGCACUGAAUGUCCUAGGGGGUAUUGCACCUACCGAAGACUAUCAAACUCCGAAUGCCGUCAUCUUAUACUUGGGAGUCAGACUGUGGGUGAUAAGAUUCAUAGUCGAAAGGGCAACAGCCCAGAUCGUCAGCUAAGGUCCCUAAAUGUAAGUUAAGUGGUAAAGGAUGUGGGAUUGCACAGACAACCAGGAUGUUGGCUUAGAAGCAGCCACUCAUUCAAAGAGUGCGUAAUAGCUCACUGGUCGAGUGAUCCUGCGCCGAAGAUUUCCGGGGCUAAAACUUACUACCGAAGCUACGGCAUCAGUAAUGAUGGGUAGGGGAGCUUCCCAUACGGGUUGAAGCAUGACCGUAAGGACAUGUGGACAGUAUGGGAGUGAGAAUGUUGGCAUGAGUAGCGAGAUGUGGGUGAGAAUCCCACAGGCCGUAAACCCAAGGUUUCCAGGGGAAGGUUCGUCCGCCCUGGGUUAGUCGGGACCUAAGCUGAGGCCGAAAGGCGUAGGUGAUGGACAACAGGUUGAUAUUCCUGUACUACCGAUAACCGUUUGAGAGAAGGGAUGACACAGUAGGAUAAGCUAAGCACACUGUUGGUUAUGUGUGCCCAAGCAUUGAGGCAGUCAAAGUAGGCAAAUCCGCUUUGAUAAUGCUGGGAUGUGAUGGGGAGCGAAAUUUAGUAGCGAAGUAGCUGAUUUCACACUGUCAAGAAAAGUCUCUAUCGAGGUUAAAGGUACCCGUACCGCAAACCGACACAGGUGGGUGAGGAGAGUAUCCUAAGGCCAGCGAGAGAACUGUUGUUAAGGAACUCGGCAAAAUGACCCCGUAACUUAGGGAUAAGGGGUGCCACCAUCAGGUGGCCGCAGAGAAUAGGCCCAAGCGACUGUUUACCAAAAACAUAGGUUUCUGCUAAGUCGCAAGACGAUGUAUAGGAGCUGACGCCUGCCCGGUGCUGGAAGGUUAAGGGGAUCUGUUAGAGCAAUCGAAGCAGUGAACUUAAGCCCCAGUAAACGGCGGCCGUAACUAUAACGGUCCUAAGGUAGCGAAAUUCCUUGUCGGGUAAGUUCCGACCCGCACGAAAGGCGUAACGAUUUGGGCACUGUCUCAACAACAGACUCGGUGAAAUUGUAAUUCCGGUGAAGAUGCCGGAUACCUGCGACAGGACGGAAAGACCCCAUGGAGCUUUACUGUAGCUUGACAUUGGGUCUUGGUACUACAUGUACAGGAUAGGUGGGAGGCUUUGAAACCAGGACGCCAGUUUUGGCGGAGCCAUCCUUGGGAUACCACCCUUGUAGUACUGGGACUCUAACCAUAGGCCAUGAAUCUGGUCUUGGGACACUGUCAGGUGGGCAGUUUGACUGGGGCGGUCGCCUCCCAAAAGGUAACGGAGGCGCUCAAAGGUUCUCUCAGUACGGUCGGAAAUCGUACGUAGAGUGUAAAGGCAAAAGAGAGCUUGAUUGCAAGACAUACAGGUCGAGCAAGGAUGAAAAUCGGACUUAGUGAUCCGGUGGUUCUGCGUGGAAGGGCCAUCGCUCAACGGAUAAAAGCUACCCUGGGGAUAACAGGCUUAUCUCCCCAAGAGUCCACAUCGACGGGGAGGUUUGGCACCUCGAUGUCGGCUCAUCACAUCCUGGGGCUGUAGUAGGUCCCAAGGGUUGGGCUGUUCGCCCAUUAAAGUGGUACGCGAGCUGGGUUCAGAACGUCGUGAGACAGUUCGGUCCCUAUCCGUCGCAGGCGUAGGAAAUUUGAGAAGACCUGUCCUUAGUACGAGAGGACCGGGAUGGACGUACCUCUGGUGUACCAGUUGUCCUGCCAAGGGCAUGGCUGGGUAGCUAUGUACGGAAUGGAUAAGCGCUGAAAGCAUCUAAGCGCGAAGCCAACUUCAAGAUAAGAUUUCCCACCGCAAGGGUAAGACCCCAGAAAGACUAUCUGGUUGAUAGGUCGAAGGUGUAAGUGCAGCAAUGUAUUUAGCUUAUCGAUACUAAUAGGUCGAGGACUUGACCAA
rnacentral:rRNA from 1 species